GACGAACGCUGGCGGCGUGCUUAACACAUGCAAGUCGAACGGAAAGGCCCUGCUUUUGUGGGGUGCUCGAGUGGCGAAAGGGUGAGUAACACGUGAGUAACCUGCCCUUGACUUUGGGAUAACUUCAGGAAACUGGGGCUAAUACCGGAUAGGAGCUCCUGCUGCAUGGUGUGGGUUGGAAAGUUUCGGCGGUUGGGGAUGGACUCGCGGCUUAUCAGCUUGUUGGUGGGGUAGUGGCUUACCAAGGCUUUGACGGGUCGCCGGCCUGAGAGGGUGACCGGCCACAUUGGGACUGAGAUACGGCCCAGACUCCUACGGGAGGCAGCAGUGGGGAAUAUUGCACAAUGGGCGGACGCCUGAUGCAGCAACGCCGCGUGCGGGAUGACGGCCUUCGGGUUGUAAACCGCUUUCGCCUGUGACGAAGCGUGAGUGACGGUAAUGGGUAAAGAAGCACCGGCUAACUACGUG
rnacentral:rRNA from 1 species